UCCUCGAUGGUCUAGUGGUCAUGAUUUCCGCUUGUCAUCCCAUACCAAGGAACAAGCGCGGGAGACCUGGGUUCGAUUCCCAGUCGGGGAG